rnacentral:rRNA from 1 species
UACGGAGGAUGCGAGCGUUAUCCGGAUUUACUGGGUGUAAAGGGAGCGUAGACGGAGAGGCAAGUCUGAAGUGAAAGCCCGGGGCUCAACCCCGGGACUGCUUUGGAAACUGCAGUUCUAGAGUGCCGGAGAGGUAAGCGGAAUUCCUAGUGUAGCGGUGAAAUGCGUAGAUAUUAGGAGGAACACCAGUGGCGAAGGCGGCUUACUGGACGGUGACUGACGUUGAGGCUCGAAAGUGCGGGUAUCAAACAGG